rfam:Candidatus Synechococcus spongiarum 15L contig64, whole genome shotgun sequence.
GUGCUAGAUUGAAUCUGUUCACAAGCCGUGAACUAGGUGGCUCACACCAAUGUUUCGGACAGCGGUUCGAUUCCGCUCAGCUCCAUUCCCAAUCGGGGCUGCAAUGGUUUCGACGGGGCAUGAGGAGGGUGACUGAAGCCUGCUCGGUCAGAGCAACUUCGUAACAGCGAACAACAUCGUUCGUUUCUCUCGCCAGGCAGCCCCUGUUGCCGCCUGAGCCUAAGGGAGAUGGGGUGAGAUCAGCCUUAUCAGCAAAAUGAUCCAUGGGGGCUGGAAGGCCCC